GAUUUUUUGGUUGGGGAUGGGCUNNNNGCCNNNNAGCUUGUUGGUGAGGUAAUGGCUCACCAAGGCGUCGACGGGUAGCCGGCCUGAGAGGGNNNCCGGCCACACUGGGACUGAGACACGGCCCAGACUCCUACGGGAGGCAGCAGUGGGGAAUANNNCACAAUGGGCGGAAGCCUGAUGCAGCAACGCCGCGUGAGGGAUGACGGCCUUCGGGUUGUAAACCUCUUUUAGCAGGGAAGAAGCGAAAGUGACGGUACCUGCAGAAAAAGCGCCGGCUAACUACGUGCCAGCAGCCGCGGUAAUACGUAGGGCGCAAGCGUUAUCCGGAAUUAUUGGGCGUAAAGAGCUCGUAGGCGGUUUGUCGCGUCUGCUGUGAAAUCCCGAGGCUCAACCUCGGGCCUGCAGUGGGUACGGGCAGACUAGAGUGCGGUAGGGGAGAUUGGAAUUCCUGGUGUAGCGGUGGAAUGCGCAGAUAUCAGGAGGAACACCGAUGGCGAAGGCAGAUCUCUGGGCCGUAACUGACGCUGAGGAGCGAAAGGGUGGGGAGCAAACAGGCUUAGAUACCCUGGUAGUCCACCCCGUAAACGUUGGGAACUAGUUGUGGGGUCCAUUCCACGGAUUCCGUGACGCAGCUAACGCAUUAAGUUCCCCGCCUGGGGAGUACGGCCGCAAGGCUAAAACUCAAAGGAAUUGACGGGGACCCGCACAAGCGGCGGAGCAUGCGGAUUAAUUCGAUGCAACGCGAAGAACCUUACCAAGGCUUGACAUAUACGAGAACGGGCCAGAAAUGGUCAACUCUUUGGACACUCGUAAACAGGUGGUGCAUGGUUGUCGUCAGCUCGUGUCGUGAGAUGUUGGGUUAAGUCCCGCAACGAGCGCAACCCUCGUUCUAUGUUGCCAGCACGUAAUGGUGGGAACUCAUGGGAUACUGCCGGGGUCAACUCGGAGGAAGGUGGGGAUGACGUCAAAUCAUCAUGCCCCUUAUGUCUUGGGCUUCACGCAUGCUACAAUGGCCGGUACAAAGGGCUGCAAUACCGCGAGGUGGAGCGAAUCCCAAAAAGCCGGUCCCAGUUCGGAUUGAGGUCUGCAACUCGACCUCAUGAAGUCGGAGUCGCU
rnacentral:rRNA from 1 species